UAAGACAGAGGUGCCAAGCGUUAGGCGGAAUCACUGGGCUUAAAGCGCGUGUAGGCGGGUCGUUAAGUACCUUGUGAAAUCCCACGGCUCAACCGUGGAACUGCUGGGUAUACUGGCGAUCUUGAGGCAUCUAGGGGCAGCUGGAACAAGUGGUGGAGCGGUGAAAUGCGUAGAUAUCACUUGGAACGCCGAAGGUGAAGACAAGCUGCUGGGGAUGAACUGACGCUGAGACGCGAAAGCCAGGGGAGCGAACGGGAUUAGAUACCCCGGUAGUCCUGGCCCUAAACGAUGUCCACUAGAUCAGGGUGGUUUUGACACCUUCCUGGUCGAAGCAAAAGUGCUAAGUGGACCGCCUGGGAAGUACGGUCGCAAGGCUA
rnacentral:rRNA from 1 species